rnacentral:lncRNA from 1 species
CUCGAUAAGGGCUCGACUCGGCUCGUUUACAGAGAGAAACGAGCCGAGCUCGAAUUCUAAUCAAUACUCGGGUAAAACAUGAGCCGAGGCUCGUAGAAGCUCGGUAGGCUCGAAAGAUAGGGACAUUUUCGUCAUUUCAUUGUGUAUGUGGUACUCUAACUAAGUCAUCUCCCAUGUAGCCCUAAUACUUCCUUUCCUCUUUUGGUCCUUCGUUUUCCCGUCUCAUAGCUGUCACCCCGCAGCCGCAUCCCAAUCCUCGCAGCCUCCAUUCUCACGCCGCACCCCGCAGCCGCCAUUCUCACCGCCAGGCGCCAUCCACUGACCCAUUUGCUCUGAAAGUUAAAGAAUCAUCACAGCCUUCAGACAAGCAGGCUUCUCGAGAAGGUGAGCAGAAUCAAUACUAGUAGUAGUAAUGGUGCUAUUUAUGAAAGGUCCGGGUACAAAAACUUUAUGGGGGGUUUCUGUGAUUAAUCAUAAGCAGAAAACUGCAUCUGAAGGGCUGUUGGUUUCAGAUGGUCGAUGAUGAAAGAAAGAAAUCAUAGGCUAAAAAUCAGAUAGGGGCAACCACCCUUGAAGAAAUCCCCAGUCUCUCUGAUAGCCUCAUUCUUCACAGAGCUGAAAUCUUAAGGCACCGUUUGGAUCGAAGCAAAGGGAAAGCUGGAAAGGAAAGGACUCGUAGAGGCCCCAUCUCCUUCUCAACUUGAUCCCCUCAGGAUAGGCAUACAGUCCAGAAAGAGAGAAAAAGAUUGAAGGCAAUAACUCGGGGCAGACCGAGCCAUUUGCCAAGAAGGAAUCCUACUCAAUUCUGUAGGGCCUCGAACUGGUUGGAAAUGGAAAGUGUUUUUCGCGAGCUCGAGCUCGAGUUUCGAGCUCGGCUCGAUUUCAAACUCGAGUUCGAGCCAGAGCUCGAGUUUUUUACCACCACAUCGAGUCGAGUUCGAGCACCUUGUGAAGCUCGAAUUAGUAAUCGAGCGAGCUCGAGCCAGCUCGAUUGUCCUAUGCUCGAGCUCGACUCGGCUCGUUUAACAGCUCUAGUUUCAGCUAAUUUGAUCGUUUCCUUGAUUCGAGCCAAGUGUUGGACACUAGCGUCGAAGACAUGGAGGAAUAAGGGCGCGUGAGCUUGUACACGCUGAACAUCUGUUUUCCAUCCUAAGAACGACUAGUUUUUCACUAAUCUGGAACAAUUAAAACUAACAAAUUACGCUGGCAAGAUAAAACACAGAACCUCAUAGACCCAGAAGAAGUGGUAUGUUAAUGCAAGAUUAUCGAGUGAUGCAACUGAUUCUGGAAACAGAUUUGAAGUAUUCGGAAGAAAUAUCAGCUUGCCUUCAAAACAAGCAAGUUAUGGCGCCUCGUCUUGUAAACAAAUCAAACAAUUCAAAUAAAAGUGAUUUGACAAAGAUUUUUGCUCAUUCCUUCCUCCAUGUGUUAUUUCUUAGUCUCUUAUUUUACGUCAACUUUUA